ACUUUGCAACGAGUACUUUUUCUCAUUUUAUCGAAGAAAACGCAAAAUCUAAUUAUAUUGUUCUAUUAUGCCCAGAGAGUGUAAAUUUGGAACGAAUCGAUGUCAACGCUCACAUGAACAAAAAUCGGGACAACAUUAGACUACUCAGUUGCGCCAUAACAGUAUAACUUUGCAACGAGUGCUUUUUCUCAUUUCAUCGUAGAAAGCGCAAAUCCAAUUAUAUUGUUCUAUUAUGCCCAGAGAGUGUAAAUUUGGAACGAACCGAUGUCAACGCUCACAAGAAAAAAAAAACCGGAACAACAUUAGACUACUUAGUUGCGCCCUAACAGUAUAACUUUGCAACGAGUACUUAUUCUCAUUUUAUCGAACAAAGCGUCAAACCUAAUUAUAUUGAUUUAUUAUGCCCAGAGAGUGUAAAUUUGGAACGAAUCAAUGUCAGCGCUCACAGGAACAAAAACCGGAACAACAAUAGACUGCUUAGUUGCGCCAUAACAGUAUAACUUUGCAACGAGUGCUUUUUCUCAUUUUAUCGAAAAAGCGCAAAUUUAAUUAUAUUGUUCUAUAAUGCCCAGAGAGUGUAAAAUUUGGAACGAAUCGAUGUCAACGCUCACAAGAACAAAAACCGGAACAACAUCAGACUACUCAGUUGCGCCAUAACAGUAUAACUUUGCAACGAGUGCUUUUUCUCAUUUUAUCGAAGAAAAAGAGUAAAACAUAAUUAUAUUGUUCUAUUAUGCCCAGAGAGUGUAAAUUUGGAACGAAUCGAUGUCAACGCUCGCAAGAACAAAAACCGAAACAACUUUAGACUACUCAGUUGCGCAAUAACAGUAUAACAUUGCAACGAGUGAUUUUUCUCAUUUUAUCGAAGAAAGCGUAAAACCUAAUUAUAUUUUUCUAUUAUGACCAGAGAGUGUAAAUUUGGAACGAAUCGAUGUCAACGCUCACAAGAACAAAAAUCGGAACAACAUUAGACUACUCAGUUGCUCCAUAACAGUAUAACUUUGCAACGAGUACUUUUUCUCAUUUUAUCGAAGAAAACGCAAAAUCUAAUUAUAUUGUUCUAUUAUGCCCAGAGAGUGUAAAUUUGGAACGAAUCGAUGUCAACGCUCACAUGAACAAAAAUCGGGACAACAUUAGACUACUGAGUUGCGCCCUAACAGUAUAAAUUUGCAACGAGACCUUUUUCUCAUUUUAUCGAAGAAAGCAUCAAACCUAAUUAUAUUGUUCUAUUAUGCCCAGACAGUGUAAUUUUGGAACGAAUCGAUGUCAACGCUCACAAGAAUAAAAACCGGAACAACAUUAGACUACUCAGUCGCGCCCUAACAGUAUAACUUUGCAACGAGUACUUUUUCUCAUUUUAUCGAACAAAGCGUCAAACCUAAUUAUAUUGAUUUAUUAUGCCCAGAGAGUGUAAAUUUAGAACGAAUCGAUGUCAACGCUCACAAGAACAAAAACCGGAACAACAAUAGACUACUUAGUUGCGCCAUAACAGUAUAACUUUGCAACGAAUGCUUUUUCUCAUUUUAUCGAAAAAGCGCAAAUUUAAUUAUAUUGUUCUAUAAUGCCCAGAGAGUGUAAAAUUUGGAACGAAUCGAUGUCAACGCUCACAAGAACAAAAACCGGAACAACAUGAGACUACUCAGUUACGCCCUAACAGUAUAAAUUUGCAACGAGCACUUUUUCUCAUUUUAUCGAAGAAAGCAUUAAACCUAAUUAUAUUGUAAUAUUAUGCCCAGAGGGUGUAAAUUUGGAACGAAUCGAUGUCAACGCUCACAAGAACAAAAACCGGAACAACAUUAGACUACUCAGUUGCGCCAUAACAGUAUAAUUUUGCAACGAGUGCUUUUCUCAUUUCAUCGAAGAAAGCGCAAAUCUAAUUAUAUUGUUCUAUUAUGCCCAGAGAGUGUAAAUUUGGAACGAAAUCGAUGUCAACGCUCACAAGAACAAAAACAGGAACAACAUUAGACUACUCAGUUGCGCCCUUACAGUAUAACUUUGCAACGAGUACUUUUUCUCAUUUUAUCGAAGAAAGCGUAAAACCUAAUUGUAUUCUUCUAUUAUGCCCAGAGAGUGUAAAUUUGGAACGAAUCGAUGUCAACGUUCACAAGAACAAAAACCGGAACAACAUUAGACUACUCAGUUGCGCCCUAACAGUAUAACUUUGCGACGAGUACUUUUUCUCAUUCUAUCGAACAAAGAGUAAAACAUAAUUAUAUUGUUCUAUUAUGCCCAGAGAGUGUAAAUUUGGAACGAAUCGAUGUCAACGCUCGCAAGAACAAAAACCGAAACAACUUUAGACUACUCAGUUGCGCAAUAACAGUAUAACAUUGCAACGAGUGAUUUUUCUCAUUUUAUCGAAGAAAGCGUAAAACCUAAUUAUAUUUUUCUAUUAUGACCAGAGAGUGUAAAUUUGGAACGAAUCGAUGUCAACGCUCACAAGAACAAAAAUCGGAACAACAUUAGACUACUCAGUUGCGCCCUAACAGUAUAACUUUGCAACGAGUACUUAUUCUCAUUUUAUCGAACAAAGCGUCAAACCUAAUUAUAUUGAUUUAUUAUGCCCAGAGAGUGUAAAUUUGGAACGAAUCAAUGUCAGCGCUCACAGGAACAAAAACCGGAACAACAAUAGACUGCUUAGUUGCGCCAUAACAGUAUAACUUUGCAACGAGUGCUUUUUCUCAUUUUAUCGAAAAAGCGCAAAUUUAAUUAUAUUGUUCUAUUCUGCCCAGAGAGUGUAAAUUUGGAACGAAUCGAUGUCAACGCUCACAAGAAAAAAAACCAGAACAACAUUAGACUACUCAGUUGCGACAUAACAGUAUAACUUUGCAACGAGUACUUUUUCUCAUUUUAUCGAAGAAAACGCAAAAUCUAAUUAUAUUGUUCUAUUAUGCCCAGAGAGUGUAAAUUUGGAACGAAUCGAUGUCAACGCUCACAUGAACAAAAAUCGGGACAACAUUAGACUACUGAGUUGCGCCCUAACAGUAUAAAUUUGCAACGAGACCUUUUUCUCAUUUUAUCGAAGAAAGCAUCAAACCUAAUUAUAUUGUUCUAUUAUGCCCAGACAGUGUAAUUUUGGAACGAAUCGAUGUCAACGCUCACAAGAAUAAAAACCGGAACAACAUUAGACUACUCAGUCGCGCCCUAACAGUAUAACUUUGCAACGAGUACUUUUUCUCAUUUUAUCGAAGAAAGCGUCAAACCUAAUUAUAUUGUUCUAUAAUGCCCAGAGAGUGUAAAUUUGGAACGAAUCGAUAUCAACACUCACAAAAAUAAAAACCGGAACAACAUUUGAGUACUCAGUUGUGCCUCUAACAGGUAUAACUUUUUGCAACCAGUACUUUAUUCUCAUUUUUUUGAAGUAAGCGGCCAAAACUAAUUUAUAUUGUAUUCUAUUUAGCCCCAGAGAGCUUGUAAAUUUCUGGAACGAAUUGAUGUCAACGCUCCACAAGAACAAAAACUGGAACAAAAUUAGGCUACUUAGUUGCGCCCUAACAGUAUAACUUUGCAACGAGUGCUUUUUCACAUUUUAUCGAAGAAAGCGUCAAACCUAAUUAUAUUGCUCUAUAAUGCCCAGAGAGUGUAAAUUUGGAACGAAUCGAUAUCAACACUCACAAAAAUAAAAACCGGAACAACAUUUGAGCACUCAGUUGUGUGCCCUUAACAGGUAUAACUUUUGCAACCAGUACUUUUUCUUCAUUUUAUCGAAAGUAAUGCGUCAAAACUAAUUUAUAUUAUGUCUCUUUUACGCCCAGAAGAGAGUAAAUCUGGAACGGAAUCGAUGUCAACGCUCACAAGAACAAAAACUGGAACAAAAUUAGGCUACUUAGUUGCGCCCUAACAGUAUAACUUUGCAACGAGUGCUUUUUCACAUUUUAUCGAAGAAAGCGUCAAACCUAAUUAUAUUGCUCUAUAAUGCCCAGAGAGUGUAAAUUUGGAACGAAUCGAUAUCAACACUCACAAAAAUAAAAACCGGAACAACAUUUGAGUACUCAGUUGCGCCUUAACAGUAUAACUUUGCAACCAGUACUUUUUCUCAUUUUAUCGAAGUAAGCGUCAAACCUAAUUAUAUUAUUCUAUUAUGCCCAGAGAGUGUAAAUUUGGAACGAUUCGAUGUCAACGCUCACAAGAACAAAAACCGGAACAACAUUAGACUCUUCAGUUGCACCCUAACAGUAUAACUUUGCAACGCGUACUUUUUCUCGUUUUAUCGAAGAAAGCGUAAAAUCUAAUUAUAUUGUUGUAUUAUGCCCAGAUAGUGUAAAUUUGGAACGAAUCGAUGUCAACGCUCACAAGAACAAAAACCGGAACAACAUUAGAGCACUCAGUUCCGCCAUAACAGUAUAACUUUGCAACGAGUGCUUUUUUUCAUUUUAUCGAAGAAAGCGUAAAACCUAGUUAUAUUAUUCUAUUAUGCCCAGAGAGUGUAAAUUUGGAACGAAUCGAUUUCAACGCUCACAAGAACAAAAACCGGAACAACAUUAGACUACUCAGUUGCGCCCUAACAGUAUAACUUUGCAACGAGUACUUUUUCUCAUUUAUCGAAGAAAGCGUCAAACCUAAUUAUAUUGUUCUAUCUUGCCCAGAGAGUGUAAAUUUGGAACGAAUCGAUGUCAAAGCUCACAAGAACAAAAAUCGGAUCAAUAUUAGACUACUCAGUUGCGCCCUAACAGUAUAACUUUGCAACGAGUGCUUUUUCUCAUUUUAUCGAAGAAAGCGUAAAUCUAAUUAUAUUGUUCUAUUAUACCUAGAGAGUGUAAAAUUGGAACGAACUGAUGUGAGCGCUCACAAGAACAAAAACCGGAUCAAUAUUAGACUACUCAGUUCCGCCCUAACAGUAUAACUUUGCAACGAGUACUUUUUCUCAUUUAUCGAAGAAAGCGUCAAACCUAAUUAUAUUGUUCUAUUAUGCCCAGAGAGUGUAAAUUUGGAACGAAUCGAUUUUAAAGCUCACAAGAACAAAAACCGGAACAAUAUUAGACAACUCAGUUGCGCCCGAACAGUAUAACUUUGCAACGAGUGCUUUUUCUCAUUUUAUCGAAGAAAGCGUCAAACCUCAUUAUAUUGUUCUAUUAUGCCGAGAGAGUGUAAAUUUGGAACGAAUCGAUGUCAACGCUCACAAGAACAAAAACCGGAACAACAUUAGACUCUUCAGUUGCACCCUAACAGUAUAACUUUGCAACGCGUACUUUUUCUCGUUUUAUCGAAGAAAGCGUAAAAUCUAAUUAUAUUGUUGUAUUAUGCCCAGAUAGUGUAAAUUUGGAACGAAUCGAUGUCAACGCUCACAAGAACAAAAACCGGAACAACAUUAGAGCACUCAGUUCCGCCAUAACAGUAUAACUUUGCAACGAGUGCUUUUUUUCAUUUUAUCGAAGAAAGCGUAAAACCUAGUUAUAUUAUUCUAUUAUGCCCAGAGAGUGUAAAUUUGGAACGAAUCGAUUUCAACGCUCACAAGAACAAAAACCGGAACAACAUUAGACUACUCAGUUGCGCCCUAACAGUAUAACUUUGCAACGAGUACUUUUUCUCAUUUUAUCGAAGAAAGCGUAAAAUCUAAUUAUAUUGUUCUAUUAUUCCCAGAUAGUGUAAAUUUGGAACGAAUUGAUGUCAACGCUCACAAGAACAAAAACCGGAACAACUUUAGACUACUCAGUUGCGCCUAACAGUAUAACUUUGCAACGAGUACUUUUUCUCAUUUUAUCGAAGAAAGCGUCAAAACUAAUUAUAUUGUUCUAUUACGCCCAGAGAGUGUAAAUUUGGAACGAAUUGAUGUCAACGCUCACAAGAACAAAAACUGGAACAAAAUUAGGCUACUUAGUUGCGCCCUAACAGUAUAACUUUGCAACGAGUGCUUUUUCACAUUUUAUCGAAGAAAGCGUCAAACCUAAUUAUAUUGCUCUAUAAUGCCCAGAGAGUGUAAAUUUGGAACGAAUCGAUAUCAACACUCACAAAAAUAAAAACCGGAACAACAUUUGAGUACUCAGUUGCGCCUUAACAGUAUAACUUUGCAACCAGUACUUUUUCUCAUUUUAUCGAAGUAAGCGUCAAACCUAAUUAUAUUAUUCUAUUAUGCCCAGAGAGUGUAAAUCUGGAACGAAUCGAUGUCAACGCUCACAAGAACAAAAACCGGAACAACAUUAGACUACUCAGUUGCGCCAUAACAAUAUAACUUUGCAACGAGUACUUUUUCUUAUUUUAUCGAAGAAAGCGUAAAUCCUAAUUAUAUUAUUCUAUUAUGCCCAGAGAGAGUAAAUUUAGAACCAAUCGAUGUCAACGCUCACAAGAACAAAAAUCGGAACAACAAUAGACUACUCAGUUGCACCCUAACAGUAUAACUUUACAACGAGUGCUUUUUCUCAUUUUAUCGAAGAAGGCGUCAAACCUAAUUAUAUUGUUCUAUUAUUCCGAGAAAGUGUAAAUUUGGAACGAAUCGAUGUCAAAGCUCACAAGAACAAAAACCGGAACAAUAUUGGACUACUCAGUUGCGCCCUAACAGUAUAACUUUGCAACGAGUGCUUUUUCCCAUUUUAUCGAAGAAAGCGUAAAUGCUAAUUAUAUUGUUCUAUUAUGCCCAGAGAGUGUAAAUUUGGAACGAACCGAUGUCAGCGCUCACAAGAACAAAAACCGGAACAACAUUAGACUAAUCAGUUGCGCCCGAACAGUAUAAUUUUGCAACGAGUGAUUUUUCUCAUUUUAUCGAAGAAAGCGUCAAACCUAAUUAUAUUGUUCUAUUAUGCCCAGAGAGUGUAAAUUUGGAACGAAUCGAUGUCAACGCUCACAUGAACAAAAAUCGGGACAACAUUAGACUACUGAGUUGCGCCCUAACAGUAUAAAUUUGCAACGAGACCUUUUUCUCAUUUUAUCGAAGAAAGCAUCAAACCUAAUUAUAUUGUUCUAUUAUGCCCAGACAGUGUAAUUUUGGAACGAAUCGAUGUCAACGCUCACAAGAAUAAAAACCGGAACAACAUUAGACUACUCAGUCGCGCCCUAACAGUAUAACUUUGCAACGAGUACUUUUUCUCAUUUUAUCGAAGAAAGCGUCAAACCUAAUUAUAUUGUCUAUUAUGACCAGAGAGUGUAAAUUUGGAACGAAUCGAUGUCAACGCUCACAAGAACAAAAACCGGAAGAAAAUUAGACCACUUAGUUGCGCCCUAACAGUAUAACUUUGCAACGAGUACUUUUUCUCAUUUUAUCGAAUAAAGCGUAAAACCUAAUUAUAUUGUUCUAUUAUGCCCAGAGAGUGUAAAUUUGGAACGAAUCGAUGUCAACGCUCACAAGAACAAAAACCGGAAUAACUUUAGACUACUCAGUUGCGCCAUAACAAUAUAACUUUGCAA
rnacentral:lncRNA from 1 species